CCCUGAAAGAUGAUCAGGUUGAUAGGUCUGAGGUGGAAGUGUGGCGACACAUGGAGCUGACAGAUACUAAUCGAUCGAGGACUUAACCUAA
rnacentral:rRNA from 1 species